rnacentral:piRNA from 1 species
UUUUCUCUAUUUGUAUAUGUA